GACGAACGCUGGCGGCGGGCUUAACACAUGCAAGUCGAACGGAAAGGCCGUGCUUUUGUGGGGUGCCCGAGGGGCAAACGGGUGAGGAUCAGGAGAGUAACCGGCUCUAGUCUUUGGGGUAACUUAACGAAACUGGGGCUACUCCCGGAUAGCAUCUCCUGCUGGAUUGUGAGCGUGGGAUCGUUGCAGCGGGUGGGGAUGGAUGGGCGGCUGAUGAGCUUGUUGGUUGGGGAGUGGCUUACCCAGUCAUUGACGGGUACGCAGCCUGAGAGGGUGACCGGCGACAUUGGGACUGCGAGACGGACCAGACUCGUACGGUAGGCAGCAGUGGGGAAUAUGGCACAAUGAGCCGACGCCUGAUGCAGCAACGCCGCGUUCGGGAUGACGGCCUUCGGGUUGUAAACCGCUUUCGCCUGUGACGAAGCGUGAGUGACGGUACUGAAUAAAGAAGCACCGGCUAACUACGUG
rnacentral:rRNA from 1 species